GCCCCCAUGGCGAAAUCGGUAGACGCAUUCGACUUAAAAUCGAACGCUGCGGCGUGUGGGUUCGAGUCCCACUGGGGGCACCG
rnacentral:tRNA from 2 species